rnacentral:rRNA from 1 species
AUUGAACGCUGGCGGCAGGCCUAACACAUGCAAGCGAGCGGUAACAGGGGUUGCUUGCUACCCGCUGACGAGCGGCGACGGGUGAGUAACGCGUGGGAACAUGCCCGGUAGACGGGGGAUAGCCCGAGGAAACUCGGAUUAAUACCGCAUACGCCCUGACGGGGGAAAGGUGGCCUCUAUUUAUAAGCUACCGCUAUCGGAGUGGCCCCGCGUGAGAUUAGCUAGUUGGUGGGGUAAAAGGCCCACCAAGGCGACGAUCUCUAGCUGGUCUGAGAGGAUGAUCAGCCACACCGGAACUGAGACACGGUCCAGACUCCUACGGGAGGCAGCAGUGGGGAAUAUUGGACAAUGGGGGCAACCCUGAUCCAGCCAUGCCGCGUGUGUGAAGAAGGCCCUAGGGUUGUAAAGCACUUUAAGUUGUGAGGAAAGCAUUAUUGCGAAUAGUGAUGAUGUGUGACGUUAGCAACAGAAUAAGCACCGGCAAACUCCGUG